AUUGAACGCUGGCGGCAGGCCUAACACAUGCAAGUCGAGCGAGCGGCGGACGGGUGAGUAAUGUAUGGGGACUGCCCGAUAGAGGGGGUUAACUACUGGAAACGGUGGCUAAUACCGCAUACUAUCGGAUAACCCAUAUGGGAUUAGCUAGUAGGUGGGGUAAAGGCUCACCUGGGCGACGAUCUCUGUCUGGUAUGAGAGGAUGAGCAGCCACACUGGGACGGAGACACGGCCCAGACUCCUACGGAGGCAGCAGUGGGGAAUCUUGCACCAGGGGCGCAAGCUUGAGGCAGCCAUGCCGCGUGUAUGAAGAAGGCCUUAGGGUUGUAAAGUACGGUUAGCGGGGAGGCGUUACCCGCAGAAGAAGCACCGGCUAACUCCGUGCCAGCAGCCGCGGUAAUAC
rnacentral:rRNA from 1 species